GCUUUCGGGCUCGGCGCAGUCUGCGGGCGGGAGGGCGCCGGCGAGGUGGCGAGGGCGGCUGGCGCGGGGGCGCGGGAGCCCCGGCUAAGCCCGGGGACGGGAGGGCGCCCCCUCCCAGCGCCCGAACCCAGGCAACUUCCCGCCGCCCGGGCAGGAGUUUCUCCGUAGCCCACGGACAUCCGGGAGGCUUGUGGAGGGCAGGCGGGUAACCCCCACUCCCACCCCACCUUUAUCCAGGGGCAGCCAGAGGAGCCAGCAGGUCGGGACUCGCUGAGGGGGCUCCACGCGGGGCCUCCCACGCACAGGGACAGCGUCUGCUAUGUUGUCCAGGCUGGUCUCAAAUUCCUUGCCUCAAGCGAUCCAACUGCCUCAGCCUCCCGAGUCACUGGGAUUACAGGCAUGAAGACAUUGUUUUCAAGGGAUCACUCUGCUUUGUGGAGACUAGACUGUGAGGAGCAAGCCUCGAAAGGGGAGAGCUGUUUCGAGGUAAGAGAUGGUGGCUGGUGGAGGGGGUGAGAAGCAGGUCAGAGUCUUUUCAAAGACAUAACAAUGUUUGCUGAUGGCGAGGUAAAGUGACAGGAAGGAGCCAGAGAGGACUCUGAGGUUUUUGCCCUAAAGCUGGAAAUAGGACUUUCAUUUCCUGAUGUAGGAACAGGUGAGAUCCCACAGGGAAAGCCCACAGCACUGUGCUUCAAGUGAGCACUGGAUACACGGAAGUGCCGGACAUGCAGAAUCCACGGAGGAGAAGCCUUGGAAGAGGAGGCCCCCGGGGAUGCCAAGAAGAGAGCACCCUCAGUGGGGGCAGGCCCCUGUGUUCUCCACUGCAGCCUGCUCCACAGCCACGCCCUCCCAUCCAUGGCUACACACUCACAUUCUGGGCCUCUUCCCUGGACCAGAUUGCACAGCAGGGCCGCUCUCUCCAGUGCCUCCAGCUGGCCCCUGCUGACAAGUCCGUGUUGUGUCAUGUUGGGAGUCUGGGCAAGGCACGAGGGCCCCUCUCUAGCAGGUCCCGAUGGCUCCUCCACACCUUCAGGAAAAGCAAGAGAUAAACCAUUGCAUGCUGAGCUCUGCAGGGAACUGGAGGCGGACACCAUCCAUUCUGCAAACCUGCAAUGGUGACACUUCUGGAAUCUCCUUGCCUCUUCCAGGGCUGCAGCCUCUAAGGCAGUGGGCAAUGUCAAGUGAGAGACUCCACAGAUAAGAAAAAUAAAGGAGUGGCUCAAUUACAUGCCAGGGAAAACCGCUUUGGUGGAUGAAGGUCACACAGCUCUCCCAGCAUUCUGUCCUCUGUAUACAGAUGAUCUCCUUCUGAAAUCCUUUUGGGGAUGACCCCCUUCCACACCAUGGACACUUCUGGGUGGGUUGUCACUCAAGAGGUCCUGCCCUCUUCUGCCCACUGGGUGGACACAAGAAUUGAAAUCUGUAAAGGAUACUGAGAUUGGGAACAAAAUAAUUGAUGCUGAUUGAUCCCAGCAGUGUAUGGCGAGAAGAUGACAAGCUUCCACUGCCUGUAUCACUGACUUGCCUAAUGUCUGCCCUGCCCUGGCCUGGAUCUUAACCGCGCCCUUCAUUCUGUGAACUACCCCCAAAUCCUUCAAAUAAAGUCCUUGAUUGCUUGUUAGAGUCAAUAAUAUUGCUUGCUGAGGAUCCAGAGACCUCUAGAGAGAGGAGGUGGAAUUGCACACCCUGGGAAAGAGGAAGGUGUGAGUUACCAUCCCUGGGGGAGGCCCCACAGGUGUCAGCCCUCAGGGGGCAGGGGACUGACAGGGGACAGAGC
rnacentral:lncRNA from 10 species